rnacentral:rRNA from 1 species
UACGAAGGGUGCAAGCGUUAAUCGGAAUUACUGGGCGUAAAGCGUGCGUAGGCGGUUGGCUAAGUCAGAUGUGAAAGCCCUGGGCUCAACCUGGGAAUGGCAUUUGAAAACUGGCCGGCUAGAGUGUGAUAGAGGAUGGCGGAAUUCCCGGUGUAGCGGUGAAAUGCGUAGAGAUCGGGAGGAACAUCCGUGGCGAAGGCGGCCAUCUGGAUCAACACUGACGCUGAGGCACGAAAGCGUGGGGAGCAAACAGG